UACGUAGGGUGCGAGCGUUGUCCGGAAUUAUUGGGCGUAAAGAGCUCGUAGGCGGUGUGUCGCGUCGGUCGUGAAAACUUGGGGCUUAACCCUGAGCUUGCGGUCGAUACGGGCAUCACUUGAGUUCGGCAGGGGAGACUGGAACUCCUGGUGUAGCGGUGAAAUGCGCAGAUAUCAGGAAGAACACCAAUGGCGAAGGCAGCUCUCUGGGACGGUACUGACGCUGAGGAGCGAAAGCGUGGGGAUCAAACAGG
rnacentral:rRNA from 1 species